CUUGGACCCCCCAAAAUUCCAUCUAUGGGGCAGGAAAUGGAACCUGAGACCCCCAAGUUCCACUUGUGGGGCAGAGAACGAGACUUGGACCCCCUAAAAUUCCAUCUAUGGGGCAGAGAAUGGACUUGGAGACCCCCAAAAUUCACUUGUGGGGCAGAAACGGAGCCCGAGACCCCCAAGUUCCACUUGUGGGGCAGAGAAUGGACUUGAGAACCCAAAGUUCACUUGUGGGGCAGAGAACGGACUUGGAGACGCCCAAAAUUUCACUUGUGGGGCAGAGACGGAGCCCGAGACCCCCAAGUUCCACUUGUGGGGCAGGAAAUGGACUUGGACCCCCCAAAUUCCAUCUAUGGGGCAGAGAAUGGACUUGGAGACCCCCAAAAUUCACUUGUGGGGCACCUGGAGACCCCCAAGUUCCACUUGUGGGGCAGAGAAUGGACUUGGACCCCCCAAAAUUCCAUCUAUGGGGCAGAAACGGAGCCUGAGACCCCAAAUUUCCACUUGUGGGGCAGAAACGGAUUCCAGCGACCCCCAAGUUCACUUGUGGGGCAGAAAAGGAACUUUGAGACCCCAAACUCCACUUAUGGGGCAGGAAAUCGACUCCAGCGACCCCCAAAUUUCACUUGUGGGGCAGAAACGGAUUCCAGCGACCCCCAAGUUCACUUAUGGGGCAGAAAAAUCGACUCCAGUGACCCCAAACUUCACUUGUGGGGCAGAAACCAAUUCCAGCGACCCCUAAGUUCACUUGUGGGGCAGAACCGGAUUCCAGCGACCCCCAAGUUCACUUGUGGGGCAGGAAAGGAACUUUGGGACCCCAAACUCCACUUGUGGGGCAGAAAAUCGACUCCAGCGACCCCCAAGUUCACUUGUGGGGCAGAAAAAUCAACUUUAAGACCCCAAACUUCACUUAUGGGGCAGAAAAAUCAACUUUAAGACCCCAAAUCUCAACUUAUGGGGCAGAAAAAGCAACUUUAAAACCCCAAAAUUUCACUUAUGGGGCAGAAAAAGGAACUUUAAGACCCCAAACUUCACUUAUGGGGCAGAAAAAUCGACUUUAAAACCCCAAAAUUUCGACUUUUUUGGGGCAAAAAAAAACGAACUUUGAGUUUCCCCCCCCCUCGAGUUUCAUUUUGGGGCAGAAAAAGGAACUUUUAAAGACCCCAAAAUUGGGAUUUUUGGGGCAGAAAACGGAACUUUGAAACCCCUCCCCCCUCCCCAAGAGCUUCACUUGUGGGGCAGCCGCCGGACACGCCCCCUCCCCGGAAGUCUCCGCCCCCUAAACGCCAAAUAUGGAAGUGUGGGAGGGGUUUUGUGAAGUGGGGGCGGGGCGGGGGGUUGGGCGUGGCUUGGAAAAGGCGGGGAAAAAACGUG
rnacentral:lncRNA from 1 species